AUGGAUGGUGUCGCGGCAGACCGAGUAGCUUCGGAAGAAGGCGUUGGGAUCAAAGAGCUCAAAGGCUUGGUUGAAUUUCCUUGGAGCAUCCUCGUGCAGGAGGGUGGGUCUCCUCGGCCCUCCCACUGCCUGCAGUGUGUAGCGCGCCAGCAGGUUGCUGUGCAGGAGCACGCGGCACCUGUGACCUUCGCUCAGGUUGAUGAUGAUGUCUCGCUUGAUACUCCCUUCUCCGCUGAGACGGCACUCUGUCGCCGCUGCAGCCACCAGCGGCAUUCUGCUCAAUGGCGGCCAAGGCAUGCCUUGUGGCUGUCCAGGAAGCUCGAAUCAGGCUGGACCUGA
rnacentral:rRNA from 1 species